CUUAAAAUGUCAAAAUGAAAUAUUGUCUAUUAAAACAGAAGAAUUAAAAUAAACAAGAGAAGUUGGGCAUUGGUCAUCUGAUGGUUGUAACCUCCAGCUUUCCCAGGAAAUAUGAGAAGACAUGGAAAAAAAAAAACCUUAAAUGCCCAUCGCUAAGUGAAAGAAGCCGAUCUGAAAAGACUACAUACUGUGAGUAGGGCUGAUUGGAGCCAUUGUACAGUGUCGGGAACAUACCAGGACACUGAGAAUAGUGUCAUGUCAUAAGGACCCAGAGCAGAUGGACCCUGCUGUGAUGCACAAAGAGGACCACGCAAGAUAUGAUAAAGAUCUACAUCACUGAAUUUUGGUUCCAUUUUUGUAUCUCAGCUUCCAGGAAAUAAAAAAGAAUUCUAACAUU
rnacentral:lncRNA from 1 species